CAGACUGAAAGGAAGUGAGCACAUUAAUUAUAGUUAACUGAGUGCUCACUUCCUUUCAGUCUG
rnacentral:miRNA from 1 species